rnacentral:rRNA from 1 species
AUUGAACGCUGGCGGCAUGCUUUACACAUGCAAGUCGAACGGUAACAGGCCGCAAGGUGCUGACGAGUGGCGAACGGGUGAGUAAUGCAUCGGAACGUGCCCAGUCGUGGGGGAUAACGCAGCGAAAGCUGUGCUAAUACCGCAUACGAUCUAUGGAUGAAAGCGGGGGACCGUAAGGCCUCGCGCGAUUUGAGCGGCCGAUGUCAGAUUAGGUAGUUGGUGGGGUAAGGGCCCACCAAGCCAACGAUCUGUAGCUGGUCUGAGAGGACGACCAGCCACACUGGGACUGAGACACGGCCCAGACUCCUACGGGAGGCAGCAGUGGGGAAUUUUGGACAAUGGGCGCAAGCCUGAUCCAGCAAUGCCGCGUGCAGGAAGAAGGCCUUCGGGUUGUAAACUGCUUUUGUACGGAACGAAACGGUCUGGGUUAAUACCCUGGGCUAAUGACGGUACCGUAAGAAUAAGCACCGGCUAACUACGUGCCAGCCGCCGCGGUAACAC